GUCCACGCCCUAAACGAUGAAUACUCGAUAUUGGCGAUAUACAGUCAGUGUCUAAGGGAAACCGUUAAGUAUUCCACCUGGGGAGUACGUCCGCAAGGAUGAAACUCAAAGAAAUUGGCGGGGGUCCGCACAAGCGGUGGAUUAUGUGGUUUAAUUCGAUGAUACGCGAGGAACCUUACCAGGGCUAGAAUGGGAGGAGAAUAUAGAGGAAACUUUAUAGCUAGCAAUAGCUGCUUCCAAGGUGCUGCAUGGUUGUCGU
rnacentral:rRNA from 1 species